rnacentral:lncRNA from 1 species
AUCAUACGCGGAAUCGAGACGAAUCAAAGUAUGGAUGUGUUCAAGAGAGUCACUCCGAUAAGAUAAGCAAGGCGCAGAAUAAAACUUACAAAAUCGAAGCUCCGACGCGGUGGCUCUCCGGUGAUUGUGCAGGUAUUGAAUUCCUCUUCCUCUUUCCCUUUGCUCUUCUUUUUCUUUGCAGCUCUCUGCUACAUGAGAUGAAUCGAGAGGGCACAUGUUUGUGAGGAAUUAGAGAGGGAUUUGAAGAGAAUUGAAGAGUG